rnacentral:snRNA from 1 species
GGAUGUGAGAGCUAUCUGGACAGAUGCGACAUCUGUUACCCCAAGGGUGUCCCCUUCCUCCCUCACCACUCCAUGUGUGCCCCUCCCAAAGCUGUGCGCUGGGUGAAGAGGAUGAUCAUCCCUGAUACAGAAAGACCGACCAUUCUUCGGUCAAGGAUAUAUGAGUAGCUGUGCUCCCCUACCAGAACCUCCAAACAAGUUCUCAAAUUCCAGUUCCAACAACAACCAAAGGAAAAAAAAAAAGGAAAGGAAAGGGCAAAAGAUCAAAAACAAAGGUGAUUACAGAGAAAUGAAAAAUAUGUGCUCCUAUAU